GACUACUCGGGUAUCUAAUCCUGUUUGCUCCCCACGCUUUCGCGCCUCACCGUCAGUUGCUGUCCAGCAGACCGCCUUCGCCACUGGUGUUCCUCCUUAUAUCUACGCAUUUCACCGCUACACAAGGAAUUCCGUCUGCCUCUCCAGUACUCAAGAAAAACAGUUUCAAAUGCAAUUCGGAGGUUGAGCCUCCGGAUUUCACAUCUGACUUGCCUUCCCGGCUACACGCCCUUUACACCCAGUAAAUCCGGACAACGCUUGCCACCUACGUAUUACCGCGGCUGCUGGCACGUAGUUAGCCGUGGCUUGUUUUCAGGGUACCGUCUUCUGCUCUUCCCCUGUCAAAGAAGUUUACAACCCGAAAGCCUUCUUCCUUCACGCGGCAUUGCUGGGUCAGGCUUGCGCCCAUUGCCCAAUAUUCCCCACUGCUGCCACCCGUAGG
rnacentral:rRNA from 1 species